AGAAGAAAAGCACGCAAAUUGGGGUAUGGGUUUAUGUGCGACAAACAAGGCUGUGCUUCAUUCCUGCGGCAUAGGGCUAAGCCAUAAAUCUCGACCGCUCUUCAGAGGCCUAAGGGCACACCGCAGAACAGUUUUCCCCCUCAGCACUGGCUUUUGGCAUUUACGUGGUUCCAACGACCUAAACUAACUUAAAAAAAAAAAAUGCACAUAGAGGUGGAGGAAGAAUUCUUUGCAGACUGGAGGAGCUGGCGAUGAACUUUAGAAGGUGUUCCCUGGCAUCCUAAAUUUACUUCCGCCUCUAUCCUGCAGUGAAGUCACAAUACAUCUGUGACAGAAUAACUCCCAUGGCAACAGCCUGACAUCAUAAACACCAGAUUAAGACUUGGCUGCACAGCCAAAGGAGAUGAUGGGCCGGGAAGAAAGAGGCUGUAAUUCAAACAAAUCUCUACUGUAAUAGCUAUGGGAAUACUAAACAUUACUGGCCAAUUUGGUUCUAUUCCCUGCACGAGACGGGUAACCAAUGGGCGAUACACAAUAUCCCAAGAUGGAUCCUGGUGCCUCGAGCCAACAUGCUAAGGGCGGGAAGCAGACAAACACUAAACAUUACUGGCUCCUUCAUUGAUCCAACCGCAAAGGAGCCAUAGAGCAAGAGGAGGGCUGUGCCCUCUCCCACACUGUGCGUGGAGAAGAAUGGCUCUGCUAAGCAGGAGGCUGAAGUGGCUACCUGAGUAGUCCAGGAGGGGGCGCUGAGAAUAAACUGUUGGACUCUAAA